rnacentral:rRNA from 1 species
GACGAACGCUGGCGGCGUGCUUAACACAUGCAAGUCGAACGGAAAGGCCCUGCUCUUUUGGGGUGCUCGAGUGGCGAACGGGUGAGUAACACGUGAGUAACCUGCCCUUUACUUUCGAAUAACCUCAGGAAACUGGGGCUAAUACCCGAUAGGAGCACAUGCUGCAUGGUGGGGGUUGGAAAGUUUCGGUGGUUGGGGAUGGACUAGCCGCUUCUUAGCUUGUUGGUGAGGUAGUUGAUUUACAAGGCAUUGACGGGUAGCCGGCCUGAGAGGGUGACCGGCACCAUUAGGACUGAGAUACGGCACAGACUAGUAAGGAAGGCAGGAGUGUGGAAUCUUGCCCGAUGGGCGGAAGCCGGAUGCAGCAAGGCCGCGUGAGGGAUGGCAACCUGCGUGUUUUAGGCAACUUUCGCCUGUACCGGUGCGUGUAUGAAGGUAAUGGAUAAAGAAGCACCGGCUAACUACGUG